AGCACAAGGCAGCGUUGGCCAUGCGUCUGCUGUAUAAUCCCGUUCAUCCAAAGAACAGGACUCUGAUGCACCAAAACUAUGGAAUUCAUCUUCCUGAUCUACGUAAGAGAUCGGCUACGACAGGGCCCACUCAAAGGGUAGUGACUGGUCCCACGGUGGGCAGUCUGGCUAUAGUACCAGGAGGAGCAUGUAACAACCUGUACCUGGUACCACCUCUGUCUGAAGAAGACAUGACAGCAGGCAUUGCCAGUCUACUGAGAAGGGUCUAACCUCCUCAG